GACGAACGCUGGCGGCGUGCUUAACACAUGCAAGUCGAACGGUGAAAGCGGAGCUUGCUCCGCUGGAUCAGUGGCGAACGGGUGAGUAACACGUGGGCAACCUGCCCCUCACUUCGGGAUAACUCCGGGAAACCGGGGCUAAUACCGGAUAUGACCUCCUUGGGCAUCCUUGGAGGUGGAAAGUUUUUCGGUGAGGGAUGGGCCCGCGGCCUAUCAGCUUGUUGGUGAGGUAGUGGCUCACCAAGGCCACGACGGGUAGCCGGCCUGGGAGGGCGACCGGGCACACGGGGACUGAGACACGGCCCAGACUCCUACGGGAGGCAGCAGUGGGGAAUAUUGCGCAAUGGGCGAAAGCCUGACACAGCAACGCCGCGUGCGGGAUGACGGCCUUCGGGUUGUAAACCGCUUUCAGCAGGGAAGAAGCCGCAAGGUGACGGUACCUGCAGAAGAAGCACCGGCUAACUACGUGCCAGCCGCCGCGGUAA
rnacentral:rRNA from 1 species